CAGAGUCAUUGACUAACUCAAGUUUCUCCGUGUGAUGAAGUUUUGGAAUCUUUACUAUUAUAGCUAUAUAUCAGUGAAUACUUAUACCGAGAUGAGCCGGAUUUUUGUGUUGGCUAAUAAGGCAUUACUUGGAUAGUUGGAUAGUAAGUAAAAAUGGAUUUCCGUCUAAAUAUUCUCCUCUUGCUGGUUAUUUUUGUGGCAUUUUCUAAUGUUGAUGGUCGCAGCAUUAAAGCUAUAGGUGAGGUGAAGAGAUUCGGCGAACCGUAUUAUUGUCCCCAAAACUAUGAAGUAUGUUAUACUUUUUGCGGAAUAAAUCACUUCAAAUGCUGUUGUCCUAAGCCGGAAUAUGGUUAAACCGGAAAACGUUUUCUACUUUGGGUGUGUUAUCUUUAAUGUUAAAGUUAUGGAAUGUAACCGAUCUAUAUCAGUUUAACAAAAAG